UUGACCAUUAUAUAAAACCUAGCCGAGGUUUAUAUAAUGUAUAUAACUUACUAGUAUCUAGUGCUACCGCGGCCUAGAUGCAAAACCAUCAAAUUGCGGGAAACCCCUGAGAGCCUUUGCUACUACUUCAUCGUGGAAACACUUUGCAAGCACCCGAGUUAAUAACCCUGGGCAUAGUAACAACGCAAAGGAUUGGGCAAUCCGCAGCCAAGUGCUAAAUUUAAUGUAACUUAACAGAAGUAAUUUAUCUAUCACCGAUGGAUAAUUACAACAUGUUACGGAAACUUCAUUAAACAUGCAUGCUGUUCAUCGACUAAAUGUUGGUUGGUGAUUUCUAACGAAAUUGCUUAAGAUAUAGUCAGGCCUUAUAUGAAAGUAUAGG
rnacentral:ncRNA from 1 species